rnacentral:rRNA from 1 species
CCUACGGGAGGCAGCAGUGAGGAAUAUUGGUCAAUGGGCGCGAGCCUGAACCAGCCAAGUCGCGUGAAGGAAGAAGGUACUUAGUAUUGUAAACUUCUUUUGUCGGGGAACAAAGGCGGAGACGCGUCUCCGGAUGAGUGUACCCGAAGAAAAAGCAUCGGCUAACUCCGUGCCAGCAGCCGCGGUAAUACGGAGGAUGCGAGCGUUAUCCGGAUUUAUUGGGUUUAAAGGGUGCGCAGGCGGGAGAUCAAGUCAGCGGUAAAAUGUCGGGGCUCAACCCCGGCCGGCCGUUGAAACUGGUUGUCUAGAGUUGGAGAGAAGUAGGCGGAAUUCGUGGUGUAGCGGUGAAAUGCAUAGAUAUCACGAAGAACUCCGAUUGCGAAGGCAGCAUACCGGCUCCAUACUGACGCUGAGGCACGAAAGCGUGGGGAUCGAACAGGAUUAGAUACCCCAGUAGUC